GAGUUAACAAAUUCCGUUUUUUGUCUAACCUACCCUCCCUGGUCGGGUUAGUUAAUUAUCACUGGUUAGGUUAGGUUAUACGGGUCGGGUGUUUAGAUGGGUUAGGUUAGGUUUUAUAUCCCAUCUCUUCUCCAAAGUCUGUCUUCAAUUUCUGUUUCACCAUCUUCAUCUUCUGCUUCACCUUCUUCAUAUGCAAGUUUGCAGAGUCAGAGACCGAUGGAUAUGAAUUCAUCAAAUCCAGAUGGUAUAGUGUGAAUCCAACUUUACACCGGAUCGUUUUUUGGCCAACGGGACGCAUUUCAGGUGUACAUAGAUGCGUCGAUUUUUUGGAAUAUCGGGUUGCUGAUUAACGUAUGAAGCUCUAUUUUUUGGGAAUACCUAAAUGUUAGCUCAACUGAUGUCAGUCGUAUAUGUACUAAUGCCUACAGAUAUACAGAAAAUGGGGAUUAGAAUACUGGUGUAGGAUGUUAGUCGGCAGUAAAUAUUAGAAAUGUUUUACUUUCGGUAUGGUAAUUGUUAAAUACGCAGUCGCACUUCAUGUAAUCACACUUCAAUACAAUUUCUGCCUGGGUAGAUGAAUGUCUAAAUGCAAAAAGUUUAUCAUUUGUUAAAGAUGUUUAA